AUUUCAAACUGAAUGAUAAUUAAAAGAGAGCAAAUAAAAAUUUGUGAAAGAAAUAAAACAGCUAAGCAGAAUGCUUCAGAGAAAUUUGCAAAUUUAAGUGUUUAUAUUAAAAACAAGAAUAAUUGAAAACAAUGGUUCAAGAGUCAUCCUAAAAGCAAUUAGUGUAUAUUAAAUACAAAAGAAGUGGAAAUCAAGAAAUAAAACUAGGAGCAGAAAUAGAGAUUAUGCAGCCUGAAAACUUAGCUAAAAGAGGAAUUUUUAAAAGGCUGAUGAAACUUUAUAAGCACCUACUUAGACUGCAGGAGAGAUAAAAAGAAAAUACAAAUUAGCAAUAUUAUAAAUAUAAAACGGGGUCUGGCUGGCCAUCUGAAAGGCAGAAAAAUGAUUAACAAGGGAUCAUAAACACCUUUCAAGGAAAAGAUUUACACUUCCAAUGUGUUUUUCCCCCUGAUGAACUCUAUAAAACCAAAAAUGAUAUUAUUUAACCAAUAUGACACAAAAGCUUUCAAAAAUAGAGAAGGAAAGUUUGCUAACUCAUUCCAGGGAGCCAGCAUUACCUAGUACAAAACACAAAGGAAGAAAUUGCAGGGUCUCCUGAAUGACUCAGUCCAUUAAGCAUCUGUCAGUUGACGUGGACGCAGGUCAUGAUCUUACAGGAUCAGGAUCGGGUCCAGCAUUGUGCUCUGUGCCGAUAGUGCAUAGCUUGCUUGGGAUUCUAUCUCUCCUUCUUUCUCUGCCCCUCUGCACUUGCUCUCUCUCUCUCUCUCUCUGUCUUAGAUUAAAUAUAUAAACUUUAAAAAAGCAAAAGAAGGAAAAGUGCUUUUAGGCACAGAAAACAUGAUUGCGCAUGUAGAAAAUCCAAUGGCAAGUACAAAGAAACUACUAAGAAGCAUGAAAUGAAUUGAGCAAGUUUGCAGUAUAAAGGCCAACAUACAAAAGGCAACUGUUUUGUCCCUGUACCAGCAAAUCCCACCAUGCAUAUACAGCACAUGUACCACACAUGUGUGUAUAUACACACCUCACAGCUGUGCACUGGAAAAAGUGAUAUUGGCAAGGUGUCAGUUUCAGUCAGGACCUUGGCAGACAGUCUGUGGAAUUACUGAAUGUGAUGUGGGUGCCCUUGGGUAAGGCUUUUAAGCCUGGGCAGACCCAGUACUCACCUGAUGUGUAUCACCUUUGCCUGUCCCUGGGAGGCCAUUCACAGACAGCUGUGUGACCGGCUGCACAUCUUCGUUGACCAGGAAGCCUGCCGGGGCGGUGCUGACAACUGCUGCUCUCUGCAAAGGCCAUGAGUUCCUAGGGCAGGUGACCCUGCCCAACCGAAGUGCACCCCUGUCCCUGCACCUGGGAAAAGACAUGGUUUGCUGCAGCCUUCAGUUCUGGAAAACUUGACAUGGAGAUGUUCUGGCCACUUGCAGUCCCUGCCCUCAUCUUCUGAGAGACUGAGGCCCAGUGUGCUCAAGGCACAUGUACAAGUGGUGCAAAUGAGCCCUCCCUGUGCUCAGUGCAUGUGCUCAUCACACGUGGGCCCCUGAGAUAAGUACCUUAAGGACCAGUAAAAAAAUAAAGUAAUUCGUGAGGACUCA